rnacentral:rRNA from 1 species
UACUAGCGGUCCAAGUCGCAGCCAUCAUUAUUGGGUCUAAAAUAUCCGUAGCUUGCUUAAUAAGUUCCCUGUGAAAUCUCAUCUCUUAAGGAUGAGGCGUGCAGGGAAUACUGCUAAGCUAGAGACUGGAAGACGUAGAAAGUAUGUUCAAAGUAGCGGUAAAAUGUGUUAAUCUUGAACAGACUCACAAUAGCGAAGGCAUUCUACGAGGACAGUUCUGACAGUAAAGGAUGAAGGCUAGGGGCGCAAAAUG